rnacentral:rRNA from 1 species
AAUCAACGCUGGCGGCGUGCCUCAGACAUGCAAGUCGAACGCGAAAGUCCCCUUCGGGGGACAAGUAGAGUGGCGCACGGGUGAGUAACACGUAGGUAAUCUACCUUCGGAUGGGGAAUAACAACCGGAAACGGUUGCUAAUACCGCAUAAUGCAGCGGCACCUAAUGGUGACAGUUGUUAAAGCGGGGGAUCGAAAGACCUCGCGUCUGAAGAGGAGCCUGCGGCGGAUUAGCUAGNGGUAAGGUAAUGGCUUACCAAGGCGACGAUCCGUAGCCGGCCUGAGAGGGCGGUCGGCCACACUGACACUGACAUACGGGUCAGACUCCUACGGGAGGCAGCAGUCGGGAAUUUUGGGCAAUGGGCGAAAGCCUGACCCAGCAACGCCGCGUGAAGGAUG